GAGAGAUAGGAGCCAGCGCCCACAAGGAAAUUGCCACCAGUUGGAGUGGCCGAAGAGUAAGUGGGCAAUGCAGUAUGGGAAUUCUGGGCUUUAUGGCUGAGAGAUCCUAGCUCCUAAAGGGGAGCAUGAACACUUCUGUCGGGGGACAAAGCAGUAGUCCUACUGAACUACAAGCUGUGGCUGCUAUCUGCACACUUCAGGCUCCUUGUGCCAAUGGAUCAGCAGGUGUUGAUCCCAAGCCUAUGCCUUAAUUAUAGAAUACAUAUCCUGUGUGCUAGUCUCCCGCUCAGAGCCUGCUUCCUGGGGAAACACCUUCAAAACCACCAAGGCCUCAAGACAUGUUGCUGAUGGCCAACUGAUCUCUUUGAGGGAAGCAGUGAAUAGACUGGUGUUCAGAUGUGCUAUCUUUAACUCACUGGAAAUUCCCUCCUUGAAGCACAGGGAUGGAACUUCGCCAAAACUGAUGCGAAUUUACUUUCCCACUUUACAUCAAAACUCACAAAAUAAGUGUUAGAAAUCAUCUUCAUAUAGAACAGGGAUUCUUCAGUGAUAAACCAUCGUCAGAUGGACUGUAUCUCAGUGAAGAGAGUCUUGCAGAUAGUGGUAAUGGCUGCACAACACUGUAAAUGUAUUUAAUGCCAUUGAAUUGUAUGCCU